rnacentral:misc_RNA from 1 species
UGGCUCUAGCAUUGAUGAAGAACGCAGCAAAAUGCGAUAAGUAAUGUGAAUUGCAGAAUUUAGUGAAUCAUCAAAUCUUUGAACGCACAUUGCGCCUUAUGGUAUUCCAAAGGGCAUGCCUGUAUGAGCAUCAUUAAAUAUCUUCAGAUUACUUUUAUUAGUUUUCUGGUGUUGGUAUAUAAAACAUUGUUUUAGCUACUUUUUAUAGCUAUCUAUAACUGCAGUUUUAAUAUUCAAAAUAUUGACUAAAGAUAGUUAUUUCUUUGUAUGACGUUACCAAGUUAAAUGAUAUAUUUACCUGUCUGCAUUAAAUAACAAGUCUUUAAAGCUCUUUAAAUUAAUAUUUUUAUUAUUUUGACCUCAUAUCAGGUAGAGAUACCCGCUGA